GUGGGGAAUCUUGCGCAAUGGGCGAAAGCCUGACGCAGCCAUGCCGCGUGAAUGAUGAAGGUCUUAGGAUUGUAAAAUUCUUUCACCGGGGACGAUAAUGACGGUACCCGGAGAAGAAGCUCCGGCUAACUUCGUGCCAGCAGCCGCGGUAAUACGAAGGGGGCUAGCGUUGCUCGGAAUUACUGGGCGUAAAGGGCGCGUAGGCGGACAGCUUAGUCAGAGGUGAAAGCCCAGGGCUCAACCUUGGAAUUGCCUUUGAUACUGGCUGUCUUGAGUUUGGGAGAGGUGAGUGGAACUCCGAGUGUAGAGGUGAAAUUCGUAGAUAUUCGGAAGAACACCAGUGGCGAAGGCGACUCACUGGCCCGUUACUGACGCUGAGGCGCGAAAGCGUGGGGAGCAAACAGGAUUAGAUACCCCAGUAGUCC
rnacentral:rRNA from 1 species